ACGGAAGGCAGCAGUGGGGGAUAUUGCACAAUGGGGGAAACCCUGAUGCAGCGACGCCGCGUGAGUGAAGAAGUAUUUCGGUAUGUAAAGCUCUAUCAGCAGGAAAGAUAAUGACGGUACCUGACUAAGAAGCACCGGCUAAAUACGUGCCAGCAGCCGCGGUAAUACGUAGGGGGCAAGCGUUAUCCGGAAUUACUGGGUGUAAAGGGUGCGCAGGUGGUAAGGCAAGUCAGGAGUGAAAUGCCGGGGCUCAACCCCGGAACUGCUCUUGAAACUGUUUAACUGGAGUGCAGGAGAGGUAAGCGGAAUUCCUAGUGUAGCGGUGAAAUGCGUAGAUAUUAGGAGGAACACCAGUGGCGAAGGCGGCUUACUGGACUGUAACUGACACUGAGGCACGAAAGCGUGGGGAGCAAACAGGAUUAGAUACCCUGGUA
rnacentral:rRNA from 1 species